rnacentral:rRNA from 1 species
GGCGGAAGGGUGAGUAACGCUGUAAGCUACCUAUCCCCAAGUGGGGGAUAACCAGGAGAAAUCCUGGCUAAUACCGCAUAAUGUGCUAUAGGAGGCUAUAGCACCAAAGCUUCGGCGCUGGGGGAUGGGCUUGCGUCCUAUCAGGUAGUUGGUGGGAUAAAAGCCUACCAAGCCGAUGACAGGUAGCUGGUCUGAGAGGACGGUCAGCCACAUUGGGACUGAGACAAUGCCCAGACUCCUACGGGAGGCAGCAGGAGGGAAUAUUGCGCAAUGGGCGAAAGCCUGACGCAGCAACACCACGUGGGGGAAGAAGGCUCUCGGGUUGUAAACCCCUUUUCUCGGGGAAGAAGUCCUGACGGUACCCGAGGAAUAAGUCUCGGCUAACUACGUGCCAGCAGCCGCGGUAAGACGUAGGAGGCGAGCGUUAUCCGGAUUUAUUGGGCGUAAAGGGCGUGUAGGCGGCUGGGAAAGCCUCUUAUGAAAUCUCAGGGCUCAACCCUGAGGGGUUAAGGGGGACUUCCUGGCUUGAGGGCAGCAGAGGGAGAUGGAAUUCCCGAUGUAGCGGUGAAAUGCGUAGAUAUCGGGAGGAA